UACGGAGGGGCGAGCGUUAUUCGGAAUUAUUGGGCGUAAAGGGCGCGUAGGCGGCUCGAUAAGUCAAGGUGAAAUCCCUCGGCUCAACUGAGGAACUGCCUUUGAAAACUGUCGAGCUUGAGUCCGGGAGGGGUAGCGGAAUCCCAGUGUAGCGGUGAAAUGCGUAGAUAUUGGGAGGAACACCAGUGGCGAAGGCGGCUACCUGGACCGGAACUGACGCUGAGGCGCGAAAGCGUGGGGAGCAAACAGG
rnacentral:rRNA from 1 species